GGUGGAGAGCUCCAAAGGGAUCGCAUUGAUCUAAUAUUGUUCCUGGAUUACCGAAUGAAUUCAUGGAGGCAACUGGUAUAAGCUUUUGUUGAUUCAGUUCACUCAUUGGAUCAUGCAAUCCCUUCGGAAUUUUCCAU
rnacentral:pre_miRNA from 1 species